ACGAAGAAGAAAUCCAGGGAUCCAGGGAAGAAAGCCGACCGCUAUUGCAAGUAAGCCUGGGCAGCAGCUCCACAUCGAAGACUUUGGAUCCAGAUGGCCACGACUCCUUGUUUAGAUUGCCCCGGGAAUUCAAGCAGCUUCCAUCGACUGGAUCGACCAAGAUUCGACGAUCUAAGAUCUUGGUGCCGUGCUGCCAGUGGGAGCGUCAGCUUGGCCGUGAGAAGAUUAGCACAGCACAGGAACGCUACUGCUGUCGCUCGCAGCUUUCGCUACGUUCCUCCACACAACUCGGGUAUCGAGUUCUUCCCAGUUUGCUUGAUUGUCUUGCGGUGAGAGGAGGGAGAAAGAGAAGCAGCAGCAGCAGCAGCAGCAGCAACAUAUAGAGUCGCUCAACAACAACAAAUAUGUGGCUUCAAGGAUGGAGCUGUUCUCAUUCCGAUGCUUCUUCCAGAAAGGGCAGGAAGGUGGCGAGUGAGGCUGAAGAACUCCACGUUAGUGAUGAUCCUUGGCCGGAUAAGUUGAAGAGGAAGGCCCAACCAGAAACUCGCUUUCGGAACCCGAGGGCUAGUUUCCUUGACACCACAAGAGAUGAUAGCGUCUUAAGUUUGAAGAGCUUUCUGCAGCUAAGCAAAUGGCUUGACUUUUAGAUCGCUCUGUUCCAGAGCGUUCGUCUGCUUCCCAGCGAGAAGAGCGCCAGCAUUUCCAGAACAGCAGGAAGAGCUCAUCAAGCAAAAGCAAACACCAUCGACAAAAAAAAGCCCAAGUAGCUGCUUAUAACUUCCGUCGGAGAUUUCAGGCAACAUGCUGGCCACUGGGAGAAGAAGAAGAAGGAUUUUAUGGUCGCCAUGGCUGAUAAUGUGAAGCUCUCAUCUUGUGUCUUCUACUAUUCCGCAUCUAUGUCCUGUAUGCCAUGCGCGUCUGAGCCAACUGUAAGAAACCCACUUUAAAGUUUUUGCUUGAAAUUGAGAGGAAACCUUUAUGUCA